rnacentral:ncRNA from 2 species
GCCCUUCUUCAGGGCAGGGUGCAAAUCCCGACCGGCGGUAGAGCCCGCGAACCCCCGCACAGGGGGCCGACCCGGUGAGAUCCCGGGGCCGACGGUGACAGUCCGGAUGGGAGAAGGAGGGC